rnacentral:rRNA from 1 species
ACAGCCAUAUUACUCUGAACUCAUCCAAUCUCAUCUGAUCUUGGAAGCUGAGCAGAGGUAGGCCUGGUUAGUUCUUGGAUGGGAGGCCUUGUCUAAUGCUUUU